rnacentral:pre_miRNA from 1 species
AGGUUUCAGUCUCACACAGAAACCUUCAUCUGGAGUGAAAAACUUAAAGUUUGUGUUUCACUCCAAAAGAAGGUUUCUGUGUGAGACUUAAAC